rnacentral:tRNA from 1 species
AAGACUUUAAGUUAAAAAAACUAUAUACCUUCAAAGCAUAAAUUAUAAAAUUAAGUCUUA